rnacentral:lncRNA from 1 species
AGAUACUGAACAGUGUGCAUUGCAUUGGCAUUGACAUAAUAUUGCAGCUGGAAAAAGACGCACUUUGCCCCUAGCAGUUUAUAUAGGAAUCAUAAAAAUGCAUGUAGUUUUUGGUGAACUCAUUCAAUGUAUUAGGAACAAACAACUGUUUGUUAGUUACAGGUUAUGACUGAGUGAGAAAGAGAGUGAGAGGGAUCUUCAGAUUUAACUUUUCUGGGUUCACUUAUUACAGCGUGACAAGUUCCAUUCUGAGUUUCGUAGAUUCCUGACAGGGGUUUAAGGUUGUGAGUACUUGAUGUUGGGAAAAAAGGUGUGGCCUUUACUCUCAUUGGAGAAUGUCUGAAUCUGCUUGGCACUGUCGUUGAAGUUGAACCAAGGAAAAAAUGAAGCUUUUAUAAGAGCCAGUAACGUGUCUUGGGAAUGUGAGCAUGAUUCGCAAAUGGGGUUGCUCUGAAUAGUUCACAAGAGCUCUCAGCCUCUCAGGAAGGAAAAAAAAGAGCCUUGUUUUUUGUUUUUUAUUUUUUAUUUUGUUUGGAGAAAGUGAGAGAAAAAAGGUCAAGGAAAUUUCCUUUCACCAUCUUGUUAUAUUGGAAAUAUAUUUCUUUUUCCUUUUCUUCUGG